rnacentral:rRNA from 1 species
AUGAGAGCGUUCGCGUUGUUUGCCGUGCUUGCCAUGGCGGCCGCCAUGGCCGUCGCCGAGCAGUGCGGCUCCCAGGCCGGCGGGGCGACCUGCCCCAACUGCCUCUGCUGCAGCCGCUUCGGCUGGUGCGGCUCCACCUCGGACUACUGCGGCGACGGAUGCCAGAGCCAGUGCUCCGGUUGCGGCAGCACGCCCGUCACCCCCACACCCUCCGGCGGUGGCGGCGUGUCCUCCAUCAUCUCCCGCGCCCUCUUCGACCGCAUGCUACUGCACCGCAACGACGGCGCCUGCCAGGCCAAGGGCUUCUACACCUACGACGCCUUCGUCGCGGCCGCCGGCACCUUCCGGGGCUUCAGCACCACGGGCAGCACGGACACCCGGAAGCGCGAGGUGGCCGCCUUCCUGGCCCAGACCUCCCACGAGACCACCGGUGGGUGGGCGACGGCGCCGGACGGAGCCUUCGCGUGGGGCUACUGCUUCAAGCAGGAGCGUGGCGCCACCUCCAACUAUUGCACUCCGAGCGCGCAAUGGCCGUGCGCCCCAGGGAAGAGCUACUACGGCCGUGGGCCGAUCCAGCUCUCCCACAACUACAACUACGGGCCGGCAGGCCGGGCCAUUGGGGUCGAUCUGCUGCGCAACCCAGACCUGGUUGCCACGGACCCGACGGUGUCUUUUAAGACAGCGAUGUGGUUUUGGAUGACGGCACAGGCGCCAAAGCCGUCGAGCCAUGCUGUGAUCACGGGCCAAUGGAGCCCAUCAGGGACGGACCGGGCUGCAGGGCGGGUGCCCGGGUUUGGCGUGAUCACCAACAUAGUUAACGGCGGGAUCGAGUGCGGGCAUGGGCAGGACAGCCGAGUCGCCGAUCGGAUAGGAUUUUACAAGCGCUACUGUGACAUCCUCGGUGUUGGCUAUGGUGACAACCUCGACUGCUACAAUCAGAGGCCCUUCGCUUAA